GCCUGGGUGGCUCAGUCGGUUGAGCAUCCGACUUCAGCUCAGGUCAUGAUCUCACAGUUCGUGAGUUCAAGCCCCGCAUCGGGCU
rnacentral:tRNA from 1 species